rnacentral:rRNA from 1 species
UACGGGGGGGGUAAGCGUUGUUCGGAAUUACUGGGCGUAAAGGGCUCGUAGGCGGCCAACUAAGUCGGACGUGAAAUCCCUCAGCUUAACUGGGGAACUGCGUCCGAUACUGGAUGGCUUGGAUUUGGGAGAGGGAUGCGGAAUUCCAGGUGUAGCGGUGAAAUGCGUAGAUAUCUGGAGGAAUACCGGUGGCGAAGGCGGCAUCCUGGACCGACAUUGACGCUGAGGAGCGAAAGCCAGGGGAGCAAACGGG